CCAUCUCCUCUCUCUCCGUCCAUAUCUGCGGUCGUGCGUAGACACACCAACCAGCGCGGUCACCUCCGCCAUCUACGUGCUCCGCUGCCCACGGCAGCCCGCUCGCCACGGCCAUGCUCCCCACGCCUCGCCUGUCCCGAGGGCCCCAGACUGCCUCUCCCGGGCCACAACACAACGAUGAUGGCGGUGGCGGCAGCGACGGCGACGGCAUACAGCGGGAGCAGGCAGAGCAGCGCGACCCCUCUCCCUUGACCUCCCUCAGCAGCGUCGCGCCUUCUCAGCCACGACCUCUACCCGCUGGCGGCGGAAGCGAGCGGCCGGCCACAGAUGCCUCCUCCAGCCUUGCCGUCCUUCGAUCCCCAGCACCCUCAGUCCACCCUACCAACCUCGCCGCCUUCCCUCGCCAGCCCCGCGUCGGCCGCCUCCACCUCUCUCCCUCUCUCUCUCGCUCCCUCCCCCCUCCCCCCCUCUCUCUCAUAUUUCUGUUCCAAUUCUUACUUUUUGAUGUGCUACUUUUGUUCAAGUAGAUGAGUCGCUGAUUCAAAUCCUCCUAUUUGAAAUGUGGCUGUACAAAAAGAUGAAUCCUCUUUUUCAGUGCAUAUUAGGUGUUUGUGUUAAUGCGUAGGAAGAGAAACCAAGUUGAUUGUGUUUUGAAUAUUUUGAUAUUUAAGAUUUUUUGCAACAUUUACCCCUAUAGGCUUCCUAGAAUAUCCGCUGCCGACCGUGAUCUCCGAUGCGUUUCGUUGUUGGCCGACAUGACGACGGAGAAGCCGGUCCCAGGCAUUCCCAAAUCGCGUGGUCUGAUGCCCAAUGUAGUUCUGAUCCUCUUGAAUUCGCCGUGCGCAUGGGGAGGAGAUGUUGCCCGCUGUGCGGUUGACUGCGAGGAGCUUGGGCUGUUAUUUGACUACUUCCGCGGACAGCAGCAACCUCUGUGAGGCGCACAAUCGACUUCUGCUAGGUGGUGGAAGAAUCGGUGGUGGAGGCGGAUUGUGCGAGAAAGUGGCAGCGGCGCUGUCAAACGGUAGCAGGGGCACUUUGCCGCCUCUGUUCACCGUUGAGGACGUAGCAGCAAGAUGAGCCCCCUCUCUUUAUUUUUAUUUUUUAGAUCUUGUAGCAUCAUGGUGAGUCUUCAAAGAAUUGGUACACCAUUGGCUGAACAUUAGUGUUCAUCCAGGAAAAAAAGCGAAGGGAAGAUCAACCUGAAUCGGAUGAGCAGAACACAUAUUAAUGCAAUUUUUGCUACGUUGUGUAUGUUGCUAUAUACUUGGCCAACAAAAUGAAGAGAUGUAAGAUGGCUAGAAGUUCCAGCACUUUUUUUCUAUUUGAUUUUAACAUUUUCCAUGAAUGUGCGGGUUAGUAUACCUACCUGAUGAAAUGGCUUAACAGGGUGAUGAGAAAAACAAAUGUAAAUAUUCAUGCUUUGUUUGUCCCUAUCAAUAGUUCUGAUUCUUAUGAAUCAAGAUAACUGACUUGUUUUUUGUUUGUAAAGAAAUUACAUUCAGCCUAAAUAUUGAAAAGGCACCAUAAAAUAUUUAUUUGAUUAUGGUGGUAGAAGAGAAUGUUCUGCUGAUAUUUCUUUCAAUAGAUUUUUUGUCGAUUUGUUGCCAUAGCAGAUGGGAUCAUCCGUGUGCACCCAUUAUUUACUACAUAUACUUCUUUUGGUUUUUGGUUAGAUGAUGCAUACUCACUAUAAAUCUUUUUCCUACAGUCUUCAGGAAGGUGGGUAGUGGUUCUUUUGUAGAGCAAGCACAUCCAGAGACAUCAACAUUUUUCCAGGCAAGCUUCGCUGGCAUUGGGAUUGAUAUAUUUUGCUUCACUGCAUCCUGAUACUUCCUAUUUUAUGGUUGGUUUCUCUUCAUGUGAGCAUUUCGUAAUUAUAAGAAUGAGCUCUUAGAUAUGUUUAUUAAGAUACUUCCUAUUAAUUUUCUCUUGUGGGAAGAUCUACUUCAGUGAUGAACCCAUUGUUCCUGAACAUAAGCUGCAAUAUUAUGAACUUCAGCGCUAGAGAUGUAUGUUGUCUGCCUUCUAUAUAAUUCGAAAGUGACAUAUUUACAAUUUUGUUUAGUGAUGUCAGAAGGUAUGAUGGUGUAUUUCUGUCCUUUCUCAAAAUUGAGCCACUGAACUGGAUUGAGCAGAGGGACACUGUGACUUUAUGAGUGUCUUGAUCAUUUUGCAUGUCAUGAAAGUUGAAAACGAGAAAUUAUAUGUUCUCUUUGCGCUCAGAUUACUACGUUUAAUCUGCUGAUGUAGGUAUUGGCCUGCUAGAUCCCUUGCAUUGCAAUCUAUAUGGAAGAAAGUUAGAGAGUGUUUCUUGAAGGACAAUGGCACCAGUGCACAGAACAAUUGGCCCGGCCUUCCAAAGAAUCAUGAUGUAAAAAAACGAUCUUGCGGGGCACCGCCCAUGGUUCAGUUUUCAUUAAAAAUGAAACCAAGCCCAUGAUGUAUAAUCAGGCAGCAUAUGGUAAUUGUUCGUUGCUUGACAGUACUUAUAUUCCCUUACUUGUUAUGAUUUCUAAGGAUUUUAAAAUUGUUGGCACAUUUUUUCUACGGUUUUUAGUUGUUUUGGGUUGUUCAGACCUUAGAUUAGAAGUGGCUACUUCUUCGGAAGCAUUAACUUGCUUUGCACAUUUACUAUGACAAAUAAUUGUGCUGAUUAGGAUAUGAAGCACUAACAACGCCGGAAGCCCUGCUUUGAAAGAAACGGUAAUUUAUCAUGCUUUUUGUGAUUUGAACUAAGUUUUCAAGGCAUCAAAUUCUCAUGUUCUUAAUUCGUCUUUUUCUUUUCGUUCAUUUCAAUGGUGUGAUUAUUUAUCUCAGUGUGCAAUUGUAUGCCCACCAAUAAUGCGGUAGAUGAUCUCAAUGAAGUUGUCUUUGAUCGGGGAUAUCUAAAGAGUAUCUUAGUUGCGAUUCUAUAUUCAAGGCCACCGAUCAUAUUGAUGAGGUUGAGGUGUUUUACCCUCCUGAGCUAUUGAAUUCGAUAAAAAUCAACAAUUUCUCACAGCACAAAAUUCUGCUUAAGGUUGGUGUUCCUGUUAUAUUCCUUUGGAAUGUCAACCAAUCAUUUGGUUUGUGCAAUGGAACGCUGUUGAUCAUUACACGUCUUGGUGAAAGAGUGGUGGAGGGAGAAACUAUUGCCGGCUCUAAUUAAGGGCAGCGAGUUUGCAUCCCAUGGAUUGUUCUUAAUUCUUCCGGGUGCAAGUGGCCAUUUAAACUUCGUCGUUGCCAGUUUCCUGUUCGGUUAUGCUAUGCUAUGACUAUUUUUUCUUUGACAGGAUGCUAUGCUAUGACUAUUAAUAAGAGUCAGGGUCAGAUGCUGUCAAAGAUUUGUGUUUAUCUGCCAGAACUUGUCUUAUCGCAUGUUCAGUUGUAUGUUGCCGUGUCAAGAGUGACUUCACGUGCCGGUCUUACAUUCCUAAUUGAGGAUGGAAAUGGUUCCCCUACUGGAGAGACUAAAAUGUAGUGUACAAAGAAAUCAUAGAUCGUUUGUAGAAACAUAAAUUUGCAGUAUCAGAAUGUACUCUCUUUUCCUGCAAAAAAAAAAGAAUGCACUCUCUUUGUGCAAAAUGUA